GAUGAACGCUGGCGGCGUGCCUAAUACAUGCAAGUCGAGCGAACGGACGAGAAGUUUGCUUCUCUGAUGUUAGCGGCGGACGGGUGAGUAACACGUGGAUAACCUACCUAUAAGACUGGGAUAACUUCGGGAAACCGUAGCUAAUACCGGAUAAUAUUUUGAACCGCAUGGUUCAAAAGUGAAAGACGGUCUUGCUGUCACUUAUAGAUUGAUCCGCGCUGCAUUAGCUAGUUGGUAAGGUAACGGCUUACCAAGGCAACGAUGCAUAGCCGACCUGAGAGGGUGAUCGGCCACACUGGAACUGAGACACGGUCCAGACUCCUACGGGAGGCAGCAGUAGGGAAUCUUCCGCAAUGGGCGAAAGCCUGACGGAGCAACGCCGCGUGAGUGAUGAAGGUCUUCGGAUCGUAAAACUCUGUUAUUAGGGAAGAACAUAUGUGUAAGUAACUGUGCACAUCUUGACGGUACCUAAUCAGAAAGCCACGGCUAACUACGUG
rnacentral:rRNA from 1 species